AAGCCACCCCCAGCCCCACUUUGCAUGUGCGCGGCUGCUGAGGAGGACGAGGCCGGCCGGGGACGGGAGCUGAGAGAAAAUCCAGAGACUACCUUUGAUUUGGUGAUACAAGUAAAAUGCCAGGCUUCUGAAAAUGAAGCCCAGCUGAAA